GUUGUAUGGUUAAGUGACUAAGCGUACACGGUGGAUGCCUUGGCAGUCAGAGGCGAUGAAGGACGUAUUAACUUGCGAUAAGCCCAGAUUAGGUAGUAAAAACCAUUUGAGUCUGGGAUUUCCGAAUGGGGAAACCCACUAGCAUAAGCUAGUAUCGCUGCGUGAAUACAUAGCGCAGCGAGGCGAACCGGGGGAACUGAAACAUCUAAGUACCCCGAGGAAAAGAAAUCAACCGAGAUUCCGAAAGUAGCGGCGAGCGAAAUUGGACUAGCCCUUAAGCUUUUUAUGCGUCAGGUGAAACUUCUGGAAAGUUGUGCGAUACAGGGUGAUAGCCCCGUAACCGGCAACGCAUUUAAAGUGAAAUCGAGUAGGGCGGGACACGUGAUAUCCUGUCUGAAUAUGGGGGGACCAUCCUCCAAGGCUAAAUACUACUGACUGACCGAUAGUGAACCAGUACCGUGAGGGAAAGGCGAAAAGAACCCCUGUGAGGGGAGUGAAAUAGAACCUGAAACCGUGUACGUACAAGCAGUAGGAGCACCUUCGUGGUGUGACUGCGUACCUUUUGUAUAAUGGGUCAGCGACUUAUAUUCAGUGGCAAGGUUAACCAUCUAGGGGAGCCGUAGGGAAACCGAGUCUUAACUGGGCGUUCAGUCUCUGGAUAUAGACCCGAAACCAGGUGAUCUAGCCAUGGGCAGGUUGAAGGUUGAGUAACAUCAACUGGAGGACCGAACCGACUAAUGUUGAAAAAUUAGCGGAUGACUUGUGGCUAGGGGUGAAAGGCCAAUCAAACCUGGAGAUAGCUGGUUCUCCCCGAAAGCUAUUUAGGUAGCGCCUCGGACGAAUACUACUGGGGGUAGAGCACUGUUAAGGCUAGGGGUCAUCCCGACUUACCAACCCUUUGCAAACUCCGAAUACCAGUAAGUACUAUCCGGGAGACACACGGCGGGUGCUAACGUCCGUCGUGGAGAGGGAAACAACCCAGACCGCCAGCUAAGGUCCCAAAUUACUACUAAGUGGGAAACGAUGUGGGAAGGCUCAGACAGCCAGGAUGUUGGCUUAGAAGCAGCCAUCAUUUAAAGAAAGCGUAAUAGCUCACUGGUCGAGUCGGCCUGCGCGGAAGAUGUAACGGGGCUAAGUAGUAAACCGAAGCUGCGGCAAUGCACUUUAGUGCAUUGGGUAGGGGAGCGUUCUGUAAGCGGUUGAAGGUGUGUGGUAACGCAUGCUGGACGUAUCAGAAGUGCGAAUGCUGACAUGAGUAACGAUAAAGGGGGUGAAAAACCUCCUCGCCGGAAGACCAAGGGUUCCUGUCCAACGUUAAUCGGGGCAGGGUAAGUCGACCCCUAAGGCGAGGCCGAAAGGCGUAGUCGAUGGGAAACGGGUUAAUAUUCCCGUACUUCUUACAAUUGCGAUGGGGGGACGGAGAAGGCUAGGUGGGCCUGGCGACGGUUGUCCAGGUUCAAGUGCGUAGGCUUAAGAGUUAGGUAAAUCCGGCUCUUUCUAAGGCUGAGACACGACGUCGAGCUACUACGGUAGUGAAGUCAUUGAUGCCAUGCUUCCAGGAAAAGCCUCUAAGCUUCAGAUUGUAAGGAAUCGUACCCCAAACCGACACAGGUGGUCGGGUAGAGAAUACCAAGGCGCUUGAGAGAACUCGGGUGAAGGAACUAGGCAAAAUGGUACCGUAACUUCGGGAGAAGGUACGCUCUCGACGGUGAAGUCCCUUGCGGAUGGAGCUAUUGAGAGUCGCAGAUACCAGGUGGCUGCAACUGUUUAUUAAAAACACAGCACUGUGCAAAAUCGUAAGAUGACGUAUACGGUGUGACGCCUGCCCGGUGCCGGAAGGUUAAUUGAUGGGGUUAGACUUCGGUCGAAGCUCUUGAUCGAAGCCCCGGUAAACGGCGGCCGUAACUAUAACGGUCCUAAGGUAGCGAAAUUCCUUGUCGGGUAAGUUCCGACCUGCACGAAUGGCGUAAUGAUGGCCACGCUGUCUCCACCCGAGACUCAGUGAAAUUGAAAUCGCUGUGAAGAUGCAGUGUACCCGCGGCUAGACGGAAAGACCCGUGAACCUUUACUACAGCUUGGCACUGAACAUUGACCCUACAUGUGUAGGAUAGGUGGGAGGCUUUGAAGCACAGUCGCUAGAUUGUGUGGAGCCGUCCUUGAAAUACCACCCUUGUAGUGUUGAUGUUCUAACGUUGACCCCUAAUCGGGGUUGCGGACAGUGCCUGGUGGGUAGUUUGACUGGGGCGGUCUCCUCCCAAAGCGUAACGGAGGAGCACGAAGGUGGGCUAAUCACGGUUGGACAUCGUGAGGUUAGUGCAAUGGCAUAAGCCCGCUUGACUGCGAGAAUGACGGUUCGAGCAGGUGCGAAAGCAGGUCAUAGUGAUCCGGUGGUUCUGAAUGGAAGGGCCAUCGCUCAACGGAUAAAAGGUACUCCGGGGAUAACAGGCUGAUACCGCCCAAGAGUUCAUAUCGACGGCGGUGUUUGGCACCUCGAUGUCGGCUCAUCACAUCCUGGGGCUGAAGUCGGUCCCAAGGGUAUGGCUGUUCGCCAUUUAAAGUGGUACGCGAGCUGGGUUUAGAACGUCGUGAGACAGUUCGGUCCCUAUCUGCCGUGGGCGUUGGAAGAUUGAAGGGGGCUGCUCCUAGUACGAGAGGACCGGAGUGGACGAACCUCUGGUGUUCGGGUUGUGUCGCCAGACGCAUUGCCCGGUAGCUAAGUUCGGAAUCGAUAACCGCUGAAAGCAUCUAAGCGGGAAGCGAGCCCUGAGAUGAGUCUUCCCUGAUACUUUAAGUAUCCUAAAGGGUUGUUCGAGACUAGAACGUUGAUAGGCAGGGUGUGUAAGCGUUGUGAGGCGUUGAGCUAACCUGUACUAAUUGCCCGUGAGGCUUAACCAUACAACACCCAAGGGGUUU
rnacentral:rRNA from 1 species